rnacentral:rRNA from 1 species
UGCAAGUCGAGGGGCAGCACGGUAUAGCAAUAUAUUGGUGGCGACCGGCAAACGGGUGCGGAACACGUACGAAACUUUCCCUUAUCUGGGAGAUAGCCCGGAGAAAUCCGGAUUAAUAUCCCAUAAUAUAAUUGAGUGGCAUCAUUUAAUUAUUAAAGCUUUGGCGGAUAAGGAUGGUCGUGCGUAUGAUUAGGUAGUUGGCGGGGUAACGGCCCACCAAGCCCACGAUCAUUAGCUGAUGUGAGAGCAUGAUCAGCCACACGGGCACUGAGACACGGGCCCGACUCCUACGGGAGGCAGCAGUAAGGAAUAUUGGUCAAUGGACGCAAGUCUGAACCAGCCAUGCCGCGUGAAGGAUGAAGGUCCUCUGGAUUGUAAACUUCUUUUAUAGGGGGCGAAACAACUGAUAUCUAUCGGUCUUGACAGUACCCUAUGAAUAAGCACCGGCUAACUCCGUGCCAGCAGCCGCGGUAAUACGGAGGGUGCAAGCGUUAUCCGGAUUUACUGGGUUUAAAGGGUGCGUAGGCGGACUUGUAAGUCCGAGGUGAAAUCUCUGAGCUUAACUCGGAAACUGCCUUGGAUACUAUAGGUCUUGAAUCUCGUUGAGGUUUGCGGAAUAUGU